UAGGUAUGUUCUUGAAACCCAAAGAAUUUGGCGGUAUUUUAGUCCUUUCAGAGGAAUCUGUCCCAUAAUCGACAGCCCACGAGAUGAUUUACUUAUUCUUGUGUUUCAGUUUGUAUACCUCCGUCAUAAGAAGAUCUUUUUAGAGAUAAAAUUUUCUUAAUAUAUUAAGUAUAAUAUGUCAGGUCAAGGUGCAAUUUAUGAAUAAGUGGAGAUGGAUUACAAUAAAUUUAUUUAAAUGGAUUAAAUUAUUUAAUUUUUUAUGAAGGUGGAUUUGAUAGUAAUUUUAAUUGUUUAUUAUCAUGAUUUUGGCUCUAAAAUAUGC
rnacentral:rRNA from 1 species